UACGAAGGGGGCUAGCGUUGUUCGGAAUUACUGGGCGUAAAGCGCACGUAGGCGGAUACUUAAGUUAGGGGUGAAAUCCCAGGGCUCAACCCUGGAAUUGCCUUCGAUACUGUUUGGCUAGAGACCGGAAGAGGUAAGUGGAACUGCGAGUGUAGAGGUGAAAUUCGUAGAUAUUCGCAAGAACACCAGUGGCGAAGGCGGCUUACUGGUCCGGUUCUGACGCUGAGGCGGCGAAAGCGUGGGGAGCAAACAGG
rnacentral:rRNA from 1 species